CAUCGGCUCCCGCCGCCGGGAAGCGGCCGGGCAUGAGCUCCGGCUCCCUCGGCGGCCACAGCGGUGGAGGAGGCGAAUGGGGGCCCCGUGAGCGGCGACCUUCGCAGGGCGCUGCCGCGGCGGGAGAUGUGCUUGCUCCCAGCGGCGCCAGGAGCAGCAUGUUCCCCGGCGCCGACAGCGCUUGCAGCGCGGCCGGGCAGCCCGAGGCGGCGAGCGCCGCUGCCCCCGGCCCGCUGGGCUCGCACGGCCCCGGCGGCGGCGAGGAGGAGGCGGCGGUGGAACGGGGCUGAGCGCUGCGCUCCCGGGUGGAUAGGGGACGGGAUGGCGGCGGGAGUGAAGCCGGUCCUCCCUCCUCCUGUCCUUCUUCCUUCCUGCACUGCUCGAGAGCCCCACAAUACUGUGAAGAAUCACUGUUUUUCUCGCUUCCCGCUGCGGGGCACGCGGUUUUUGCCCAGGACGCGGAAUUCGCGGUGAUCGUCCCAUGGUUCCCAGCUGCUCACCUGCUGUCCUACAGAGGUGAUGGGCACGCGCAGUCAAAUCCUGGCCCGGGUCACUCUCUUGGUUCAGCUGGGCUAUGUCACCGGAGUUCCAGCUGCAUUUUCUGGAUUAACUUUGCAUGCUGCUUGUUCAUGGCACCAUUCGUGACAUACUCGGGCACGGACUCCAUGUGGGAUAAUGGAAUCAUUUAUUACAGUUCUUUCAUGGUUUAUAUACCCCGUUACAUCAGCAGUAAAUUCCUGUUAGUAACUUUUCUCUAUAUCUACUUUUUAGUUAAGCAUUCACUGUCCAUGAAAAUAUAACACUACAGCAGUUUCCUACACACAAGGAUACGUCUCUCCACGACCACAUUUAUCUUGCCAAGUUCCCCUUCUAAGUUUCUCCCAGGGUCAUAUAAUCUCAGUUCCCUAUAUCUUGUCUCUGGUUAGAGGGAUGUGAUAUAUCCUGGACAAUCUUCUGGACUCAGGACAAAACUGAUUUUUUAAAACACUGGAGGGAUCUCAAGAAUAGAGGCUCUUUUUUUUGUUUGAUUUGUUUUUUUUUUUCCCAAGACAGAGGACCUGGAGGAAAUGAUUGAGGAGAGAAAAAACACUUUCCUCCCAUAAUUGAUGCUGAGUCAUUUCUCUGUUGGAUGAUGAGGCAGAAACUCAAUUAUGGCAGAAGACAGACCGUGAUGAAGUUUAUCUGGCAGAACAACUUUCAUAUUUGGAAAUCCAAAAUCCAAGGACAGAUUGGACUGGAAACUGGAUUUAAAAUCAGGCCUUCCCAUCCAGGUGCUCCCAGUGUCUCAGUAGCCAUUUAUAAGAUUCAUAUGAUAAUUUACCAGUGUUCUCCCAUGGGUGAAACAAAUCUUUUUCUCUCUGCUCAUUCUUGGCUUGGCUGGUUGACCUCAAAGUGUCCUGCCAAAUGUGGUGUCUGCUUAGCUACAUAGGGAGAACUACUCUGCCAUAGGAGAGAGUUAAUGACUUGGACGGUGCUGCCUUUUGUGUUAAAUUGACCUUGUGUCAGCUGCAAAGGCUGUGCAAUCAGCUCUGUUGUGUGCUAAGGCAGGGUCUAGAAUCAUCCUGUCCCUCCUCCACCUGGGCCUUCAAUGAUGUUCUGUUGAACCACGGUCCUCAGAACCAUUGUACUUCACAAAGUGCCUGCACAGGAUGAAACUUUCUUAUGUUAAAUCAGUCUUUUUGCAUGAAAGGCUCCCCUGGCUGUAUAUCUAGGCUUGCCUGUUGGUCUUAGAUUUCUUUUCUUGUGCCAGGAGAGCCCCAUGGGUUGCUUCCUGUGUCUCUACCACCCUGGGCUCAGCUGUACCUUCUUAACUCUUGCAUGGUAUUUAAUGUCAACAAGUGGAAAAAGCAUUGCUCUUCUCUCAGAUAUAUGACAUAUCUUCUCUCUCUAACAGCUUAGGGAAAGACUCUUGUGAUUGCUUCUUGCAUUUGUUAAAUAAGUAUAUUCCCAUGAGUGUUUUGGGCAGAGAGCUUUGCCACAAUGUCUUGUCCUGCACUUAGCCCUGCCUAUUAAAAGAGAGACUGGUCUCCAUCAAACAGCUUUCUGAAAUAUUUCUCCUAGUCCUUGAAAAAAAACCCCACAAAUAUAUUGAUCCAUGUGCAGGGUUUUUGGAAGAAUCUUGCAUGAGAGAUUUAUUGGGUUUCAGCAACGAUUGCUCUGCUCAGCUUUUGCCAAACACUCAAGCUCUUUGUUUAGUUGUCUUGUGUUGACAAAUAAAAUGUGUAUGCAAUUAC